rnacentral:misc_RNA from 1 species
AAGUCGUAACAAGGUUUCCGUAGGUGAACCUGCGGAAGGAUCAUUACUGGAUCUUAGGCAUACAACUGUGAACUGUCGCCGCGAGGCGUUAUACUUACUCGUCUAUGAAUGUGUUGACAUACAAAAAAUAACUUUCAGCAACGGAUCUCUUGGCUCUC